rnacentral:misc_RNA from 1 species
GAAUUGCGAUAAGUAAUGUGAAUUGCAGAAUUCAGUGAAUCAUCGAAUCUUUGAACGCAACUUGCACCCCUUGGUAUUCCUGGGGGUAUGCCUGUUUGAGUGUCAUUUAUCUUAUUCUCAAUUCAGGUGGCAGAGAAGGCUUGUCUUUUCUCUACACUUUGUGUUGGAUGGUGAAGGUUGCUGGGCCUUGCUGGUUCAGCUCCUUUGAAAUGCAUUGAAGCAAGUUGACAAGAACCAGCUUACAGUUUGAUAGGGAUCUAGCUGUUUGCUGUGAAGUUGACUUAUGCUUUUUGGUCUCUGAUGAGACUGCUCAAUUUUAUGAGCAAUAUGUUGUUAACUUGACCUCAAAUCAGGUAGGAUUACCCGCUGAACUUAA